AAGGGUUCCUGUCCAACGUUAAUCGGGGCAGGGUAAGUCGACCCCUAAGGCGAGGCCGAAAGGCGUAGUCGAUGGGAAACGGGUUAAUAUUCCCGUACUUCUUACAAUUGCGAUGGGGGGACGGAGAAGGCUAGGUGGGCCUGGCGACGGUUGUCCAGGUUCAAGUGCGUAGGCUUAAGAGUUAGGUAAAUCCGGCUCUUUUUAAGGCUGAGACACGACGUCGAGCACCUACGGGUGUGAAGUCAUUGAUGCCAUGCUUCCAGGAAAAGCCUCUAAGCUUCAGAUUGUAAGGAAUCGUACCCCAAACCGACACAGGUGGUCGGGUAGAGAAUACCAAGGCGCUUGAGAGAACUCGGGUGAAGGAACUAGGCAAAAUGGUACCGUAACUUCGGGAGAAGGUACGCUCUCGACGGUGAAGUCCCUU
rnacentral:rRNA from 1 species